rnacentral:lncRNA from 1 species
UUAGAGUCCCCUCUGGCGUGGAGUUACAAAUAGUCACCACAUACGUUUCCCAACUUUCUGGUAAAGAGCUGAGAAGUAAUAAUCCCUGCAUCUCAUCAUCUAUAUUUAUUUUCAUAGCAACCAACUUGUUUGCAAGACUCUGAAAUAGGCUUAUGUGCUCAACAAUGUUACCACCAUCUUUAUACUUCAAAUUUACAAGCCUUCUGAGGAGAGAAAUU